GGCUCCUGUGUGCACACAGCAGAUCCCAGGCUGAGGCUGUUGGGUCUGCUCGCCAUCUCCAUGCGUUGAUAUCGAGCCAGCACUGGAUUUAGAGGCAGAAGCCACACAGCUGUCGUGGAAGGGCAAAGAGAGCACAGCAUCGCACACAGCAGCAACUGAGGUCCCAGGAAGGAAGAUGUCGGAGCCAUGUGAGCAGUCCUGCCUGCCACCUCCUUCCUGUGUGGGGACUGCUGUGCCCACUGACCUCUGC